AUACAAAAUCAAAACUAUAGACAGAGCUCCUUUGGGCUUGUGAAGGCAUCACCUUUUGUUUUGGGGGGUUUUGUGUUUGUUUUUUUUUUGUUUUGUUUUAAUAAAGACAGGGUCUUCCUAUAUUUCCCAGGCUGGUCUUGAACUCUUGGCCUCAAGAUACCCUCCCAUGUCAGCCCACCAAAGUGUUGAGACUACAGACAUGAGCCACUGCACCCAACCACCAUUAUCUUGUAUAGAAAGAACUUUUUAUGUAAAUUAUGUAAAAUCAUAGCCUUUAAAUAUACCCAUUCCUCACCUCCACUUCUCUGUGUUAUAAAAUACUAUUACCUGGUGAAAUUGACAUUGUACAGUGGUUAUGCAGUGACUGGAUUGUAUUCCUAAUGCACAAGAUGAAACCAUGUGUGAAAAGCACUCCCUUUUUUGUGGAUGUGUGGUUAGCCUAGAAGAAAUACAUUCCCUGAACUGUCUCCAGUGAAAUUACUGAACUUUUAACUCCAAAGUUGCGUAUGUCCUGGAUAUUUAUUUGAGUUUUUCCUUUUAAGGAAUCAGAAGGAAGCUGUUCCUUAGCACAUGCAGAGUCAUAAAUACUGUAACACAGGGGAAAAGAUACUGGUAUAGGAUUAGGGGACUCUGAGUUUCAAACACUUAACAUUGAGGCUCAGAUUAUCAGGUGAAGUAGGUUUUAUGUACUUGGAUUAUGAGAAAUGAGUCUGACUUCAGCUCAACAUCCCAAAAUAAUAAUAGGCUCUGCUCCACGAUAAUAAAGUCCUCAAUAUACUGUACAACUUCUGCUUUGACACCACAGUGCAAAAUUAUCUUAAAACUAUGCCAAAUUGGGAGACAUUUAGAUUUUAUGUCAUCUGAAGCCUUUUUUAUAUUCCUGAAGGCUGGCCUAGAAGCCGAGCUAAAUCCUUAAUCCUUAACAAACUUAAGCUCCUUCACUAUAGCCUGACCUGCCCCUUUUUGUAUACUUCAGAUAUUAAAGAUCUCAGUAAACGUACAACAGCUAGUUAAUUGUAAGUUUUGAAUUUCUGUAUUUAUAGAAACAUUACAACACUUUAUUUGGAACAGCAUUCAAUGAAUGCAUUGCCUUCUAAAGGGAUUUGCUGAAUCACUUGAUCUAGUUUGUGAUCCAUUCAACACUUUCAUAGAACUUAAACAUUAUGUGUGUGAAGCAUCAGCACAGCUGUAAUUGUGUCCCAUAAGCACAUUUUUUACUCCUACAUUCAAAUCUUGAUUCCUACUCAUG
rnacentral:lncRNA from 10 species